rnacentral:rRNA from 1 species
UACGGGGGGAGCAAGCGUUGUUCGGAUUUACUGGGCGUAAAGGGCGCGUAGGCGGUAGCACAAGUCAGUUGUGAAAUCUCCGGGCUUAACUCGGAAAGGUCAACUGAUACUGUGCGACUAGAGUGCAGAAGGGGCAACUGGAAUUCUCGGUGUAGCGGUGAAAUUCGUAGAUAUUGGGAAGAACACCAGUGGCGAAGGCGGCUCACUGGCUCGUAACUGACGCUCAGGCGCGAAAGCGUGGGGAUCAAACAGG